rnacentral:lncRNA from 1 species
AUUAUUUUAAUUGAAUUAGGGAGACAAAAAUAUCGGAUAUUCGGAACAUACCGAAACGUGACCAUGUGAGAGAAACCGAACGGGAAGUAUUUUUCAAAUUGGAAUCAAUAAUAAAAAAAUAUCAUAAUUGGCACUAAAAUGAAAUUUUAUUUAAAUAAAAACACAUACAUAAUGAUAAAUAUUUUCUUUAAUGUAUACUGUAUAUCUGGAAAAGAAACAAAUAUAUAAAUUAAAAUUACUUUUAUAUUAUUAUAUAUUAUACCAUAAAAUACAUAUUUACUAUGCGUACAGUUCAUCUAUGAAAUUUCUUCCGGUAUGGAGUCUUCUGCACAGUUUGCAAGCAUUCGCUUGUCAGACUGUGCAGACUCCCGUCUGCUUUGAAUCUUCUUAUUACGAUAUGGUCGGUAUAAACAUCUUUGACCUCACUGAAAUUUGAAUAUUAUACUUCUGAAUAACAAAUUUUAAAAUAUAUAAAUUUCAAUAAAUGAUUAAUAUUUUUUGUCAUUUGUUAUCGUUACAAAAUUAAAGAAAUAAUUUAUGUAAAAGUAAUCAUUAAAAUAAGUGAAAAUUAUUUAAAGUUAUUUAGCGUUAAAAAAAAGAAAAAUUAAAAGAAAGAGUUAACAAAUUUUAAUACUACAAUACAUACUAUAAUAUAUUGAAAAUAAAAUAAAAAAUUUUAUUCAAUUUUAAUGACGUUUCGGUAACGAAAAUUGCGAAAAACCAGCCGGUGGGGACCUAAGGUCCUCCGCUUGGCCAUCCGACGGUUAAUUGGUUAAAUCAGAAAUCUUUUUUAAGAAACCAGUCGAGACAUCAUUUCCAUCUGUGAAGAAGAAUGGGUAAAUACAAUUUAAAAAUAACAUGGAUGGAAUUAGAACUUAGGAGAUGUUUGAAAAUAUUAUUAUUAUUUUAGUAAAUGACAGACAUUAUUUUUUAUAGAAUUAAGAGAGAGAACUUAAGUCCAAAAUUAGACCUCUAAGAUCAUCUUUACCAUAUUCUAGUUCAUUUCCAACGGGAGACUUUCGACACAGAAUGAAUGAUUAAGUAAAACUAAUAUAAAUAUUAAUAUUUUGAUUCUUGUUUUUUUUAUUUAUAGCAAAUGUUAAAUUAUAAUUUUUCUAAUACAUGAUUC